UAUGUGGUGAAGUUGCAGGCAUCAGCAGGUCCUUAAUAUCCAAAAUUCAGUGUUCUUAGUGUUUUCACAGUUUCCAGCUUCACUUUGCUCGGGGUUGCUGCUUCCCUCCUUCCUUUUGGUUUCUCCUUGUCUCGUGUUCGGGUUACGGUCUAAAGACCGUAACACAGUAACAGGAGUUCACAAGGGUUUACGAAAUGCCACGAAAUAAGACAGGCGUCAAAAGGUCAAGGCCAGAUGCAGAGCGAAUGAACAAAGCAGUGGAAGCUGUUCUUUCAACUGACCCCGAGAAACAUUUGUCUUAUAAAGAGGCUGCUACUGUUCAUGGCGUCAAGCAAACUGCGAUGUUUCGUCAUGUUGCUGCGUUCAAGAAAUCAGGAAAGGAAAAGCUCAGCUACGUGAAUAAAUGAAAUACAAAGCAGGAAGUUUGGUACAUUGAGAAAAUAGCGGGCGCAAAGUGUCAUGAGUUGGAUGCCAAUCCGAGUAAUUGGCGUUCAGAAGAGAACGAAAAUCAAUGUCGCUAUCCUCCUGCGAUGACUGAAUAUAGGGCCAAGAGGAGACUUUUAUCUAAAGAUUGAGAAGUCAUGAAUAUAUCGACUACUUCAAAACCAUAUAUGACUGAGCAACAGAACUCAAGGAAACCGCCAUUGCGGACCACCAUUUCAAAAAUCUUUGAAAAUAACCAAUGCGAGAUCCUCGACCAUCCUUUGCGGCCACCGUUCGAAAAGUGUGCGAAUGGACACUAUGUUUGCGGAUCAUGUCGUCAACAGCUGACGAAUAACGAAUGUCCUUACUGUAGAGUACCAUUGACAACGGUUAUAAAGGAUCGUAUUUUGGACGAAAUUUUCUUUGCUGUCCAUCCGACUUUUGGUUCAGAUGCCCCAGAACCACCAUUAGGCCGGGGGGCCAACCGGUCAUUGAAUGCAACCGCUGGACCCUCAAGACUGCCAAGGGGCAGGGGAUAUCUCCUCUCCCAGUUAGGAAUAGACUCUUCCCCACCACUGCCAGGUCGGAGGAGGCAAUUAGGCCAAUCUCCAAAUCUCCAAAGGACCAUUGGGAGAACUUUGAUCGAGACAGCGUUCGAAGAGUCGCUUUGGGAUACAUUGGACGUUGACGACGCCGGGAAUUUAUUUGCACGAGUUCCAGUGCUGGGCAUACUCGGGUCCGACAUCCUGUCUCACGGGCAUGAAUAUGCGGCAAGUUGA
rnacentral:lncRNA from 1 species